rnacentral:rRNA from 1 species
UUUACUAGAAUAUAGUUAUCCUACUUGGAUAACUGUGGCAAUUCUAGAGCUAAUACAUGCAAAAAAGCUCUGACCGCAAGGAACGAGCGCAUUUAUUAGAAUAAAAACCAAUCGGGUUUCGGCCCGUAAUUUGGUGAAUCUGAAUAACUUUGCCAAUCGCACAGUCCUAGUACUGGCGAUGUAUCUUUCAAGUGUCUGCCUUAUCAACUUUCGAUGGUAGGUUAUACGCCUACCAUGGUAGUAACGGGUAACGGAGAAUAAGGGUUCGACUCCGGAGAGGGAGCCUGAGAAACGGCUACCACAUCCAAGGAAGGCAGCAGGCGCGCAAAUUACCCACUUCCAGAACGGAGAGGUAGUGACGAAAAAUAACGAGACAGUCCUCUUCGAGGUCUGUCAUCGGAAUGGGUACAAUUUAAAUCCUUUAACGAGGAUCUAUUGGAGGGCAAGUCUGGUGCCAGCAGCCGCGGUAAUUCCAGCUCCAAUAGCGUAUAUAAAAGUUGUUGCGGUUAAAACGCUCGUAGUUGGAUCUGCGGCCUCGGAGAACGGUCCCCCGAAAGGGCGGUCACUGUCUCUCCUAGCCUAAAUUCAAGUCGUCUCUAGGUGCUCUUUACCGAGUGCUUAGAGUGACUAGAACGUUUACUUUGAAAAAAUUAGAGUGCUUAAAGCAGGCGAAAUAGCCUGAAUAAGGUGCAUGGAAUAAUGGAAUAGGACCUCGGUUCUAUUUUGUUGGUUUUCGGAACCUGAGGUAAUGAUUAAGAGGAACAGACGGGGGCAU